rnacentral:rRNA from 1 species
UGCAGGAUGACGGCCCUAUGGGUUGUAAACUGCUUUUAUACGGGAAGAAACACCUCUUCGUGAAGAGGCUUGACGGUACCGUAAGAAUAAGGAUCGGCUAACUCCGUGCCAGCAGCCGCGGUAAUACGGAGGAUCCAAGCGUUAUCCGGAAUCAUUGGGUUUAAAGGGUCCGUAGGCGGCUUUGUAAGUCAGUGGUGAAAUCCGGCAGCUUAACUGUCGAACUGCCAUUGAUACUGCAGGGCUUGAAUUAUUGGGAAGUAACUAGAAUAUGUAGUGUAGCGGUGAAAUGCUUAGAGAUUACAUGGAAUACCAAUUGCGAAGGCAGGUUACUACCAAUUGAUUGACGCUGAUGGACGAAAGCGUGGGUAGCGAACAGGAUUAGAUACCCUGGUAGUCCACGCCGUAAACGA